rnacentral:rRNA from 3 species
GGGUUGUGAGGUUAAGCGACUAAGCGUACACGGUGGAUGCCCUGGCAGUCAGAGGCGAUGAAGGGCGUGCUAAUCUGCGAUAAGCGCCGGUAAGGUGAUAUGAACCGUUAUAACCGGCGAUACCCGAAUGGGGAAACCCAGUGUGACUCGUCACACUAUCAUUAACUGAAUCCAUAGGUUAAUGAGGCGAACCGGGGGAACUGAAACAUCUAAGUACCCCGAGGAAAAGAAAUCAACCGAGAUUCCCCCAGUAGCGGCGAGCGAACGGGGAGGAGCCCAGAGCCUGAAUCAGCAUGUGUGUUAGUGGAAGCGUCUGGAAAGGCGCGCGAUACAGGGUGACAGCCCCGUACACAAAAGCGCAUGUGCUGUGAGCUCGAUGAGUAGGGCGGGACACGUGGUAUCCUGUCUGAAUAUGGGGGGACCAUCCUCCAAGGCUAAAUACUCCUGACUGACCGAUAGUGAACCAGUACCGUGAGGGAAAGGCGAAAAGAACCCCGGCGAGGGGAGUGAAAAAGAACCUGAAACCGUGUACGUACAAGCAGUGGGAGCCCCACCACCAAAGCAUUUGCUGUACCGCGUUGACGGAGCGAAGC